AUACGGAGGGUGCAAGCGUUACUCGGAAUCACUGGGCGUAAAGCGCGCGCAGGCGGUCUUUUAAGUUGGAUGUGAAAGCCUACGGCUCAACCGUAGAACUGCAUCCAAAACUAUUAGACUAGAGUGAGGGAGAGGAAGAUGGAAUUAGUUGUGUAGGGGUAAAAUCCGUAGAGAUAACUAGGAAUACCAAAAGCGAAGGCAAUCUUCUGGAACACUACUGACGCUGAGGCGCGAAAGCGUGGGGAGCAAACAGGAUUAGAAACCCUUGUAGUCC
rnacentral:rRNA from 1 species